AAAAGGAAGUGCUGAGAAGCCACACUGUGUGUCUGUGAGACACUGGGAAACUGCACAAGCUGCCUCCUGCAGUGUGGUUUUCAGUGGACCUUAGCUGAGUGCUAAAGUUUUAGAAUCCUUGAAACUGUUGAGAUGCUCAUGUUGCCCCAGUUAUUUUUGACCAGUUUCCGUCAGCAGCCUUUUGCUUCCUUCUAGGCCUCUUCCACUCCCUUUAAUGGCAUAAUGGCAGGCAGCUUCUUCAUCAUCCUUUACCAGAUCCUAGGGGCAGACAGAUCUAAAAGCAGCAGGGUUAACUUCCACCGGAGAAGAGGAAGCAGUCCAGGUGCUAUCCACCUCCAGGUACUGCCUUUAUCCUCUGUACUCAGGAGAGGUGGCAGCAUUUAAGUUGCUUCCUAGGUAUUUGCUUCAAAGGCCUGGGAUUGGAAUUAGCAGCUAGCAGAGGCUCUGUGCUCAUUGCAUCUAGGUAGACUGCCAGGUGUAAUGGCUUGUUUUACUUUGGUUUAUCGUAUUGCUGAGCUUUGGCAGUUAUUAAAUAUGUUCAGCUUUAUUCCAGUUGAUCUCUAGCUGGCUUUCUGUUGCUGUGACAAACACCAUGAUCAGAGCAAUUUGGACAGGAAAGGAUUUAUUUUAACUUAGAAUUUACAGAUUGUGAAGGAAAGUCAGGGCAGGAACCUGCAAGCAGGUACUGAAGCAGGGGCCAUGGAAGAAUGCUGCUUAAUGGCUUGCUCCCCAUAUCUCACUCUGCCUGCUUUCUUAGGUAACUCAGUGCCACUUGCCAAGACAUGGCACCACCCACUGUGGGCUGGACCUUCCCACAUCAACUAUUAAUCAAGAAAAAAUGCCCCACAGAGUGGCCUACCAGCUACAUUGUGGACUUCUUUGUUUCUUCCUCUUCCCAGAUGAUCCUAUCUUGUAUUAAGUUGACAAAAACUUCUACUCCAGUUGAUCUUCAUCAUUGUCUGGUGUGAAUAUGUGUGGUAGUAAAUACUUGUAAUUACAACAUUCUGCAGGUUAAGGUAGAAGACUAGUGAGUUCAAGCUGUGAUUCUCAGCUACAGAUUGAAACUGCCUGACCUUCUUUAAUUAC
rnacentral:lncRNA from 1 species